rnacentral:rRNA from 1 species
AGAGUUUGAUCAUGGCUCAGGACGAACGCUGGCGGCGUGCUUAACACAUGCAAGUCGAACGGUAAGGCCUGCUUCGGCGGGUACACGAGUGGCGAACGGGUGAGUAACACGUGAGGAACGUGCCCUUGACUUCGGUAUAGCUCUUGGUAACAGGUGGUAAUCCCGAAUAUGAGCUCAGCAGGCAUCUGUUGGGUUGGAAAGCUUUAUGCGGUCAAGGAUCGUCUCGCGGCCUAUCAGCUUGUUGGUGGGGUAAUGGCCUACCAAGGCGUCGACGGGUAGCCGGCCUGAGAGGGUGACCGGCCACAUUGGGACUGAGAUACGGCCCAGACUCCUACGGGAGGCAGCAGUGGGGAAUAUUGCACAAUGGGCGAAAGCCUGAUGCAGCAACGCCGCGUGCGGGAUGACGGCCUUCGGGUUGUAAACCGCUUUCAUCCAUGACGAAGCGAAAGUGACGGUAGUGGGAGAAGAAGCACCGGCUAACUACGUGCCAGCAGCCGCGGUGAUACGUAGGGUGCGAGCGUUGUCCGGAAUUAUUGGGCGUAAAGAGCUUGUAGGCGGUUGAUUGCGUCGGAAGUGAAAUCCCAGGGCUUAACUCUGGGCUUGCUUUCGAUACGGGUCGACUUGAGGAAUGUAGGGGAGAAUGGAACUCUCGGUGGAGCGGUGGAAUGCGCAGAUAUCGGGAAGAACACCAGUGGCGAAGGCGGUUCUCUGGACAUUUCCUGACGCUGAGAAGCGAAAGCGUGGGGAGCAAACAGGCUUAGAUACCCUGGUAGUCCACGCCGUAAACGGUGGGUACUAGGUGUGGGUCCCAUUCCACGGGAUCCGUGCCGUAGCUAACGCAUUAAGUACCCCGCCUGGGGAGUACGGCCGCAAGGCUAAAACUCAAAGGAAUUGACGGGGCCCCGCACAAGCGGCGGAGCAUGCGGAUUAAUUCG